CUAACCCAAGAAAAUAUUGGAUUUUUAUGUUUAUUUUGAUGCCUUUUAUCUUUUUACGAGCGUUGACCCACAUGUUUUGGGACAAUCUGUAUAGAAAAAGUCAUAUCUCACUGAUUUUUGCUUUAAUAUGUUGUAGAGGAAAGUAUUCUGAGUAAUUCUGUGUAAGAAUUUUGUAGAGGAUGACAUUAGUUUCAGAAAUAUAACAAAUUAAAGUUGAAAUAUUUUAUUACUUUUAUUUAUGCAUUAAAAACUAAUAUUAUGUAAAAACUAAAAUGUUUGUAUAUACUGUAUUAAUCUGUUUUGGCCUGGUCUUUUUCGCUGCACUGCUGCACUGGUGCAAUAAGUUAGAGUGAGAAAAAAUAUAUGUUUUACUCUAAUCUGUUGCACCAAUGCAGCAGUGCAGUGAAAAAGAACAAGCCAUUUAUGACCUUGUAAGAAUAAACAAAUCAUGGGUAUUUUGUCAAUAAUUCAAUACACUGAUUUCUUGCAAUUGGUUAGAGACUUUCAUUAUGCAACCACAUGAAUUUUUUAUUUAUUUUACUUUAAAAAAUCUAUUAAUUUAUUACAAUUCUUGUUGAGGAUGCAAUAAGUUAAUAGAUUUUUUAUUGACUAAAAAGUUAUUUGCACAUCUUAAAUAUCCUUAGUGUGAAGCAAAUGUAAAAUUGAAUUGUGAACAUAUGCUUUUUAUGUAUCAUAAUGUUAUAUAUGAACAAUAUGAAAGUAAUGCAAAAUGUGUAAUUUUACUGUAAAUCUGUAUUAUAAAACAUGGUUUUUGAACUAUUAUUUGAGCAUACUGAUAUGAUAAAAAAUGUAUCAAUAUAUUGAUUACAACUAAAUUCAGAAAUUCUUGUAGUUACAUAUCAAAGGCUUUUUAAUUUUUCAAACUUUAAUUUUUUAUAUUUUUGAAACGUUAUUUCCCAUUAAAUUCUUAUGGGAAAUUACUCAGACUACUUCUUUCUUUAACACACCCAAGUGAUAACAAAAUUGGUGAGACAUGAGCUUUUUUAUAUAUUUUACAUAUUGUUGUUUAUGCAUAUUUUUGUUUUUGUUGUUAAAAACGUUGGACAUGAUUUUUCAACUAGAAACCUAACUUACAAUGUUUCCAUGUUCUUUGUAUAUUUUAAUAUUUACAUAUUCCUGUAACAGUUUAGUUUUUAAUUAAUAUUUAAUAACUUUUUAAACAAUCUUUUUAGUGAUUAAGUAAUUGGAUAUGUUAUAAGUUUUUCACAAAUUUUUACAAAAAUUUUUAGAUAAUUAAGUGUGUCUGAACAAAAUUGAACAGAGUGAUUGCUUAUAAUGCUGACAAAUUGCUGUACAUUUAUCUUCAAGUAUUUUGAAUAUACAAUAUUAAAACAAUACACAAGUAAUGAAGUAUAUACUUAUGUAUUGCAGCAGUUUAACAGCAAAAUAGCAAUAUGAAAUAAUAUUAAAAAAAGACCAAUUUUGGCUUUCAAAGAUAGAAAUAAGAGAAAGACUAUUUUUUAAUCUUUUGAAUACAAUAAAAUGAGUACCAGAGUCAAUGUGCACAGUAUAAAACACACUACCAGAUAAAUUUAUUCUAAUCCUAAUUGACUAAGCAAUCUGAUUAGUGGUGUCUGUUUUCACUGUGCCCAUCUAGGCUCCUGAUAAAAAUUAUUAAAUUAUUCAUAGUGUUACCUUGGAAAUUAAGCAAGAACAUAAUGUAUUAUAGAUGGAGCCACAAAAUGCAUUUGUGUGAGUUUUUUGGAGGAGUUAUGUUUUAUGUGUGUAUGUAAGGGAAGAUUUAAGUAAUUGGAUGUGGGAAGAGAAGAAAUUUGGAUCAAUUAUAUAAAGUUGAAUGAAAAUAAAAAUGCAUCUGGUGAAAAGAAAGCAUAUUUGAAGAGAAGGGUACAUUCUAUCUUGUUGAGUUAAAAAGAUUGAACUGUUUGCAUAAUUUGAUAGUUUCAAAUGUAUAGAAUGUUAUGUUAAAGCUGUACAGAUAAAUCCUCACAAGUUUAGAAGCAAAAUAAGUUGUGCAUGGAUCGAUUAUAUCCUCUUUGGGUACGAGAAAGUCCAAACAAAUUCCAUUUACCUAUCACUGAUGAAGAAAAUCUAGACAAACAAUAUUUUGAGAAAGUAGGGUUUCUUAUAUAGCCCUGGAAUAGGCAAUUAAGUAUGACUACAUCUGCAGAUGAAGAUCUGCGCCAACAAGGUACUUUUUUUAGGAAAGCCUCUCUGUGACGUGCUACCACAACCAUCUACAUAAGUUUUAUAUAUUGAAAUUAUGAUUUUUAUAUUUUUAUAUUACAACUAUAACAGAUAUUGUGGAAAAAAUUUGGUUAAAAAAAUUUAACAUUGUUAAUGCCCGAAACAAUAAUUAAAAAAAAUGCUAUAUUUUAAAGUCUGCAAGAAUAUACCCUUAAACAUGGGAAUAGAAAGGUUCCUGUAUGUUUAAUUACUUGAACUAUUCUAAAGUUACUCUGUAUAUUUAAUUACUUCAAUUUUUAUAAUGCUACUCAACAAAAUGCUUUAACUGC